AGAGAUGGGGAAAAGCUGGGGCCCAGUGACCUAACAACUACUGUAGAUAGCAUUAAUGAGGCUGCAUUCACCUUGAAUCUGGAAAACCUCAUGUCCUGAUCUGAUCUGUUAUCUACAUCCAGUAGUAGGUUUGCAGCAGUCGUCUACUCCAGGAUGCAUGGCAUGGGAGAAUAUCUGCCUUCUUGGAUACUCGUACCCAAACUGAAGCUACUGUAUAUUGCAAUUGGAUCAUAUGCUUGUACAAACUGUAUCCACCUCUCUGGUUGGUAAACCACACUGAGUCUCCACCUGAACAUGCAUUUGGAAGUUGGGUAAGGAUGAGAAAAUGAUCUGCAGAGACCUUGAAUGAAAGGGAAGAUGGAGACUAGCAGGAGACGGUGCCAUGAGUGGCAAGUGGUGGCAGGAAGAGACAAAAGAGCUUGUGCAGUGGAAUCCAUGUUUCAUGCCUGCCAUGUGGGCAAUCACAGAAAAAUAUGUUCUCCUGAUUCAUCCAGCUCUGUAAUUGGCCAUUUAAAAUAUGCAUG